GCCUGUGAGACGAAUCUAAGUUCUCCCUUAAUCAUUCUCCACGGAUAUCCACCCAAGCCUACAUGUAGCAGAUUAAGAGUAAUUUAAAGGGGGUACAGCCCCUUUAAAAAAGAACACAAUCUCCUCUAGCGGAUAAUUACCACUAACUUCAGCUCCCAUCUGUGGGCCUUCAAGCAGCCAUCAACAAAGAAUGCGUCAAAGCUCUAUACUUAAAGAUCCAAAAACAACAUGAUUCCCUUACCCCUAACAGGCUAACCUAUAAUAAUAGGAGAAUCAAUGCUAAAAUAAGUAACUAGGGGUUACCCUCUUAAGCGCAAGCUUACAUGCCCACAUUAUUAACAGAUCCUCACUAAUACUCUAACUCCAACAAGACUAAGUAUUAACAACAUCCGUUAACCCAACUCAGGAGCGCCCACUAGAAAGAUUAAAGUCUGUAAAAGGAACUAGGCAAACCCAGGGCCCGACUGUUUACCAAAAACAUAGCCUUCAGCUCGUCCAAGUAYUGAAGGUGAUGCCUGCCCAGUGACACUGUUUAACGGCCGCGGUAUCCUA
rnacentral:rRNA from 1 species